CCUACGGGGGGCUGCAGUGGGGAAGAUUGCACAAUGGGGGAAACCCUGAUGCAGCAACGCCGCGUGAGUGAAGAAGUAUGGCGGUAUGUAAAGCUCGAUCAGCAGGGAAGAAGAUGACGGUACCUGAUUAAGAAGCCCCGGCUAACUACGUGCCAGCAGCCGCGGUAAUACGUAGGGGGCAAGCGUUAUCCGGAUUUACUGGGUGUAAAGGGAGCGCAGACGGCAGUGCAAGUCUGGAGUGAAAGCCCGGGGCCCAACCCCGGAACUGCUCUGGAAACUGUGCGGCUAGAGUACUGGAGGGGCAGGCGUCAUUCCUCGUGUAGCUGUGACAUGCGUAGUUCUUAGGCGGAACACCAGUGGCGCAGGCGGCCUGCUGGACAGUACCUGACGUUGAGGCUCGCAAGCGUGGGGAGCAAACCGGAUUAGCUACCCUAGUAGUC
rnacentral:rRNA from 1 species